UACGUAGGGUCCAAGCGUUAAUCGGAAUUACUGGGCGUAAAGGGCGCGUAGGCGGCCCGCUAAGUCAGACGUGAAAUCCCUCGGCUCAACCGGGGAACUGCGUCUGAUACUGGCAGGCUUGAAUCCGGGAGAGGGAUGCGGAAUUCCAGGUGUAGCGGUGAAAUGCGUAGAUAUCUGGAGGAACACCGGUGGCGAAGGCGGCAUCCUGGACCGGCAUUGACGCUGAGGCGCGAAAGCCAGGGGAGCAAACGGG
rnacentral:rRNA from 1 species